rnacentral:ncRNA from 2 species
UAUCAUGCCGCCCACGUUGGUGCUCGCCGCGGCCGUCCGGCUGCGGCAGUGAAACGGGAAUCAGGAAGACGAGCCCUGUCGGGGCGGAUCCAACCUGAGCUGCCCCCGCAACGGUAAGCGGACGCCCUCCCCGGAGAGCGCUCCCGUGCGAAUCACCCACUGUCGGCCCCGUGCCGAUGGGAAGGGUGCACGGAAGAUGUCCGCCAGCCCGGAGACCGGCCAACCCAGUGGGUGCGCG